AGCAUCCUGCGCCGCGCCGCCACCGCGCCCGCCCGGCGAGCCCUGUGCCGCCAGCCCCGGCACUUCCGCGUCCUCCGCCCCCGCGGCCGCGCCGCCCCGCGCUCGGCGGCGCUUGGCUCGGGGGACCGAUGUCAGCGGGGCAGGGGGUGGGCGCUCCCCUUGUACUGGAGGUUCUAUCCCGCGAGGCCGGGGGAUUCCGGCUCUCCCCCCGCUGCCCUGAGCGUUCCUGCUUUCCCCUCCAGCCGCAGGGGUGCCUGGAAAUGCCCGGGUUAAAGCAGAAGGAAGCCCAGGCGUACGAAGAGAUCCGUAUCUCAGCCUGCUUCCUUACAAAUACAGCAUGUAAACUUUCGCUUUUUCUCGUUACGGUAUUAUAAUUCUACCUGCUCGGAAGUCUAGGCAGUUGACCUAUUUUGCUCCUGACAGAAGUCUUUUUAUGCUGCCUUUCAUCUUGCUUGUCUACUCUUCCCCCCCAACAAAACACCCUGAAGAAAUGUUUCUAAAUAAACAUCAAUCAGCAAUCCUGGUAAUCUUCAGGAGUAAUCUGGAGAACUAGGGCUUGCUCACUUUCUUCCUGAAGGUCUACCAUUUUAUUUUAGCUCUAGCAAGGCUAGAAUUAUUUUGUCUGUAUUAAAAUUGAUCUGAAUUCC